rnacentral:rRNA from 1 species
AUCAACUUUCGAUGGUAGGAUAGAGGCCUACCAUGGUGGUAACGGGUAACGGGGUGUUAGGGCACGACACCGGAGAGGGAGCCUGAGAAACGGCUACCACAUCCAAGGAUGGCAGCAGGCGCGCAAAUUACCCAAUCCCGACACGGGGAGGUAGUGACAAUAAAUAACAAUACGGGGUUCUUUCGGAUCUCGUAAUUGGAAUGAGUACAAUUUAAAUCUCUUAACGAGGAACAAUUGGAGGGCGAGUCUGGUGCCAGCAGCCGCGGUAAUUCCAGCUCCAAUAGCGUAUAUUAAAGUUGUUGCAGUUAAAAAGCUCGUAGUUGAAUUUCGGGGUUAGUAGGUUGGUCAUGCCUCUGGUAUGUACUGGUCUCACUGAUUCCUCCUUCCUGAUGAACCGUAAUGCCAUUAAUUUGGUGUUGCGGGGAAUUUGGACUGUUACUUUGAAAAAAUUAGAGUGUUUAAAGCAAGCUAACGCUUGAAUACAUUAGCAUGGAAUAAUGAAAUAGGACGUUCGAUCCUAUUUUGUUGGUUUCUAGGAUUGACGUAAUGAUUAAUAGGGAUAGUUGGGGGCAUUAGUAUUCAAUUGUCAGAGGUGAAAUUCUUGGAUUUAUUGAAGACUAACUACUGCGAAAGCAUUUGCCAAGGAUGUUUUCAUUAAUCAAGAGCGAAAGUUAGGGGAUCGAAGACGAUCAGAUACCGUCGUAGUCUUAACCAUAAACUAUGCCGACUAGGGAUCGGAUGAUGUUAAUUUUUUAAUGACUCAUUCGGCGCCUUACGGGAAACCAAAGUGUUUGGGUUC